rnacentral:rRNA from 1 species
AAACCAGCACCUCAAGUGGUCAGGAUGAUUAUUGGGCCUAAAGCAUCCGUAGCCGGCUCUGUAAGUUUUCGGUUAAAUCUGUACGCUUAACGUACAGGCUGUCGGGAAUACUGCAGAGCUAGGGAGUGGGAGAGGUAGACGGUACUCGGGAGGAAGUGGUAAAAUGCUUUGAUCUCUCGAUGACCACCUGUGGCGAAGGCGGUCUACCAGAACACGUCCGACGGUGAGGGAUGAAAGCUGGGGGAGCAAACCGGAUUAGAUACCCGGGUAGUCC